UGGAACCCAGGGCUUUAUGCAUGCUAGGCAAGCACUCUACUGCUAAGUCACAUUCCCAGCUCAUGUACACCUAGUUUCUUAUGACAAAAGCUUGCUGAAAUUAGGGCUUGGGCAGUGGUCACAGGAUACAGUCAAGGUGAAAUCUGUGUGUAUACAUACAACAACCAGAACAUUUGAUAUCCACUAUCUUCUCAUACAGUGCUUAUCAACCUUCUUUGUAUCAGUAUGCACUGCAUAAAUGGAGCUGUAGCU